UUUAUUGAUGAAUUAGAUUCUGUUGGUGGAAAGCAAAUUGAGUCCCCAUUGCAUCCAUAUUCAAGGCAGACUAUAAAUCAACUCCUUGCAGAAGUGGAUGGUCUCCUGUUAGUGCCUUAAUACGUCCUGAUUCUUUUGACAUGCAAGUUACAGUUCCAAGACUGGAUGUGAAAUGUUGAACAGAAAUUUUGAAAUGGUAUCUCAAUAAAAUAAAGUUGGAUGGGGGUCCUUUUUAAAAUUUAUUUAUUACUUACUGUAUAUGCAAGAGAUUCCACCAUUUGAAUCCAGAUUCUAAAGGAAGUUUUCUUGCAAGUGUUCAAUAAUACUUGGAGAUAAAUGUAUGUAUAAAUGCUUUUAAGAUGAAUGAAAGUAGGAAAUACUAGAAAGCAUAUAUAAUCACUUUGGUGCUAAAAGAGGCAAACUAAAACAAAACACAUGAAAAUAUUAUGGACUCAAAUAAUAAACAUGACUAUUAAACUGUAGUAUUUUCAAAGAUAGGUAAAAUAAUUUGUUAAACCAAAUAUGUUUCCUAUAAAAGGG